AACGAACGCUGGCGGCAUGCCUAACACAUGCAAGUCGAACGAGCCCUUCGGGGUUAGUGGCGCACGGGUGCGUAACGCGUGGGAAUCUGCCCUUGGGUUCGGAAUAACAGUGAGAAAUUACUGCUAAUACCGGAUGAUGUCUUCGGACCAAAGAUUUAUCGCCCAAGGAUGAGCCCGCGUAGGAUUAGCUAGUUGGUGGGGUAAUGGCCUACCAAGGCGACGAUCCUUAGCUGGUCUGAGAGGAUGAUCAGCCACACUGGGACUGAGACACGGCCCAGACUCCUACGGGAGGCAGCAGUGGGGAAUAUGGGACAAUGGGCGAAAGCCUGAUCCAGCAAUGCCGCGUGAGUGAUGAAGGCCUUAGGGUUGUAAAGCUCUUUUACCCGGGAUGAUAAUGACAGUACCGGGAGAAUAAGCUCCGGCUAACUCCGU
rnacentral:rRNA from 1 species